GACGAACGCUGGCGGCGUGCCUAAUACAUGCAAGUCGAGCGAAUGGAUUAAGAGCUUGCUCUUAUGAAGUUAGCGGCGGACGGGUGAGUAACACGUGGGUAACCUGCCCAUAAGACUGGGAUAACUCCGGGAAACCGGGGCUAAUACCGGAUAACAUUUUGAACCGCAUGGUUCGAAAUUGAAAGGCGGCUUCGGCUGUCACUUAUGGAUGGACCCGCGUCGCAUUAGCUAGUUGGUGAGGUAACGGCUCACCAAGGCAACGAUGCGUAGCCGACCUGAGAGGAGGAUCGGCCACACUGGGACUGAGACACGGCCCAGACUCCUACGGGAGGCAGCAGUAGGGAAUCUUCCGCAAUGGACGAAAGUCUGACGGAGCAACGCCGCGUGAGUGAUGAAGGCUUUCGGGUCGUAAAACUCUGUUGUUAGGGAAGAACAAGUGCUAGUUGAAUAAGCUGGCACCUUGACGGUACCUAACCAGAAAGCCACGGCUAACUACGUGCCAGCCGCCGCCGUAA
rnacentral:rRNA from 1 species